CCUACGGGUGACAGCAGUGGGGAAUAUUGCACAAUGGGCGAAACCCUGAUGCAGCGACGCCGCGUGAAGGAAGAAGGACUUCGGUAUGUAAACCUCUAUUAGCAGGGAAGAAAAUGCCGGUACCUGACUAUGAAGCCCCGGCUAACUACGUGCCAGCAGCCGCGGUAAUACGUAGGGGGCAAGCGUUAUCCGGAUUUACUGGGUGUAAAGGGAGCGUAGGCGGUUAUGCAAGUCAGAAGUGAAAGCCCGGGGCUUAACUUCGGGAGUGCUGUUGAAACUGUGUUGCUAGAGUGCAGGAGAGGUAAGUGGAAUUCCUGGUGUAGCGGUGAAAUGCGUAGAUAUUAGGAGGAACACCAGUGGCGAAGGCGGCUUACUGGACUGUAACUGACGCUGAGGCUCGAAAGCGUGGGGAGCAAACAGGAUUAGAUACCCGAGUAGUC
rnacentral:rRNA from 1 species